UUGUCCAAAAGCUUAACCCAUGCAAGUCUCAGUACAAGCCGANNCGAGKUGAACCGGCAAACGGCUCAUUAAUUCAGUUUUAGUUUACUUGACCGUAAACUAUCCGUUUUUGGAUAACUGUGGCAAUUCUAGAGCUAAUACAUGCAACCGAGUCCUGACCAGUGAUGGAAGGGGCGCUUUUAUUAGAUCAAAAUCAAUCGGCCGUCCGGUCCGUUUGACUUGAUGACUCUGAAUAACACACCGGAUCGCACGGUCUCCGUACCGGCGACYCAUCUUUCAAAUGCCUGACUUAUCAACUGUCGAUGGUAGAUUCUAUGUCUACCAUGGUUGUAACGGGUGACGGGGAAUCAGGGUUCGAUUCCGGAGAGGGAGCCUGAGAAACGGCUACCACAUCCAAGGAAGGCAGCAGGCACGCAAAUUACCCACUCCCGGCACGGGGAGGUAGUGACAAAAAAUAACGAUACGGGACUCAUCCGAGGCCCCGUAAUCGGAAUGAGAACUCU
rnacentral:rRNA from 1 species